CAGCCGUAAACUAUGCGCGUUAGGUGUAUCGGUGACCACGAGUUACCGAGGUGCCGAAGGGAAACCGUGAAACGUGCCGCCUGGGAAGUACGGUCACAAGGCUGAAACUUAAAGGAAUUGGCGGGGGAGCACCACAACAGGUGGAGCCUGCGGUUUAAUUGGACUCAACGCCGGGAAGCUCACCGGAUAGGACAGCAGAAUGAUUGCCGGGCUGAGACCCUGCAUGACUAGCUGAGAGGAGGUGCAUGGCGUCAGUG
rnacentral:rRNA from 1 species